GGGAACGCUGAGAGCCCUCCAGCUGGAGGCAGGAGAGAGAAGCUGCUCGCUCGGAGGCAAAGCCCAGUCCAGGAGCAAUUGAAGGUCCUGGAGGAGGGAGCAGUUCCUACUGGGCCAGUAGGUCUCAGAGUCCCGUGUGAGCAGCCUGUAGUGGUUCCAGACAAUGCAGUGGUCCCGGUGGAGGUGCAGCAGGGAGAGUGGCCUUCAGAAGCGGUGGAGGCACCAUCUGUCAUUCAGCCGGAUCUUCUAAUCAGUUCCCCCCUUCCCAAUGCCUUGCUGCUAGUGCCUGAAAAGCCUUUAAGAAGUCAAAGCAAAAAGAGCCAGCCUUAUUGUUUUUGUCACUUUAAGGCUGCAGCACUGCUUCAGAGAACAAACUUUCAGAUCCAGCUUUGAACAGAGUACAAACAGAAGUAAUUAUAAUUAACAAGAUUAAAAGCAGACCACGUGCCCAAUAACUGCUGCUCCAACCUCUCCAAGAGGACUUUCAUGCCAGACUGCAGUCCUAUACUCCUGAUGUAACAAGGACACAUAAGGAAAUAACCGGAACAAGUCAAGAGAUAGUUUACAUAGCAAAGAUAAGUGUCAGAGGACAGACUUCAGAGGCACCUGGACUUUGCCAAUGUGGAACAAAGUGAUUAGUAGAAAUGUCUUUCUGUAGUUCGACUAUACUCAGACUGAGAAAGGAGCAAAGAAAUAUGGCACAUCAUCUUCUCCCCUUAUGUUAAACGACACAAUGAGGCUACGGAACAGAGUGGGGAGAAAAAAGUCUCCUCUCAAGGUUACUAAAAGCCCUAUGAAAGGGAUACCCUCCAUUCUGUUGUCAUUGACUCUUUUCUCCUUCAGUGUUUCUGCUUAAGACAGAUAAAAGCUGGAGAGGCAUUCUACUAUACACAUAAAUAAAAAUGGCACCAGAACUGUGGAAAUAUCCCCUUCUCUUUAUGUUCCAAACUAAAAGGAGGAUAAAAUAAAACUGAUAUAUUGUCAAAACAUUGCUGCUACCACCAAAGCAAUUUAACUAAACAGACAAAUAGAUGUGAUGAGCAUCGAAUGAAGGGGAAACACCUGCAACUUGUGGAUUUCUGUACUCUUUAAGCUGCAAAAGUAGAAUUGUGUUUCAAAGAGAAGCAACUUAAGAUAUACACCCUUGCCAAUAAACCCUUGCAUCCAUCCUUUUAUAACUAAGUCUAUGCCUUGUGAGCUGUGCAUGUCAAACAGCUAACUAACUGAUAGAUAUUUUGAUGUCCAACGUUAUCUUACUGUUUUUGGCAUGUGUAAAUUGGAUAAUUUGUGAACUUAUUGAU